rnacentral:rRNA from 1 species
UGGGGAAUAUUGCACAAUGGGCGAAAGCCUGAUGCAGCGACGCCGCGUGCGGGAUGAAGGCCUUCGGGUUGUAAACCGCUUUUAAUUGGGAGCAAGCGAGAGUGAGUGUACCUUUUGAAUAAGCACCGGCUAACUACGUGCCAGCAGCCGCGGUAAUACGUAGGGUGCAAGCGUUAUCCGGAAUUAUUGGGCGUAAAGAGCUCGUAGGCGGUUUGUCACGCCUGGUGUGAAAGUCCAUCGCUUAACGGUGGAUCUGCGCCGGGUACGGGCAGGCUAGAGUGCAGUAGGGGAGAUUGGAAUUCCCGGUGUAACGGUGGAAUGUGUAGAUAUCGGGAAGAACACCAAUGGCGAAGGCAGAUCUCUGGGCUGUUACUGACGCUGAGGAGCGAAAGCAUGGGGAGCGAACAGGAUUAGAUACCCGUGGUAGUCCAUGCCGUAAACGGUGGAUGCUGGAUGUGGGACCC